GGGGAAUUGUUCGCAAUGGGCGCAAGCCUGACGACGCAACGCCGCGUGGAGGAUGAAGAUCUUCGGGUCGUAAACUCCUUUCGAUCGAGACGAAUUCCUUCGGGGUGACUAAUCCUGGAGGUUGACGGUACCGACAGAAGAAGCCCCGGCUAACUCAGUGCCAGCAGCCGCGGUAAUACGGGGGGGGUAAGCGUUGUUCGGAAUUACUGGGCGUAAAGGGCUCGUAGGCGGCCAACUAAGUCAUACGUGAAAUCCCUCAGCUUAACUGGGGAACUGCGUGUGAUACUGGAUGGCUUGGAUUUGGGAGAGGGAUGCGGAAUUCCAGGUGUAGCGGUGAAAUGCGUAGAUAUCUGGAGGAACACCGGUGGCGAAGGCGGCAUCCUGGACCAAUAUUGACGCUGAGGAGCGAAAGCCAGGGGAGCAAA
rnacentral:rRNA from 1 species